ACACACUGAAGUUCUACAGAGCCUGUGACACACAUCUUUACUCCUCUGGCUUUGAGAAGAUUAUAGAGAGAGAGAGGUUGAGUGUUUCAGCUACUGCUGGAGAAACGUAGGGAUUUUAGCCUUUUAGCCACAGCCCUGGGCACAGAGACAGCUUCUAGAAGCUGCUCUCAAUCCUUGGCUCAAGGACCCUCUCUUCCUUCUUCAAAGCCAACAGUGUUAUAUCUCUUCAAUCCUGCUUUUGUAAGGAGAUCAACCUUUAAUCACAGCCAGGUUGCUGACCUGAAGCCAUCCAUGCAAACGGCAGCUUUCAAGGAGCUGUGGCCCUGGUGCUCAGGGCCCCCAGUGGCUGGCCAUACUCCAUUGUGAACCACCGGUAAAUGCUCAAAACUUUUGCUCCAUUCCCAGGGGACCCUCCCAUUAAAAUGAUUUUGCAUUCACUACCUGCCAACAGGACCUGUAAGCGAGCCAAAAGGAGUAGCAGAUUAAGCAUAAUUAUGAAUUCUGAAUGGAAUGGAGUAGUUGGAGAUUGUUUUCCAUGAAAGACCUAUUUUUUUCCUACUGAAAAUUCACAUAAGGAAGUAUUGAAUACUCUGUGAAGUCUUUAUAUUUAAACGUGCCCCUUGCAAUUAAUGCUUCUCCCUGCGCUUUCAUGACACAGAGAGAAAACCUCCCAAACUUGAAAGCUGUUCUUAGAAUUAGUUUUGGGUUUGCUCAAGAUUUGUAUCUAAUCAGCAUUGAAUUUUCUAGAUAAGUAUUUUAACAUUUAUUAACAAGAAUCGGUACCAAAUGCAUUUCCCAGGCUUAGUUGUCAAUGGAUGGAUAAUCCCUCAGGAUUUAAAAACCUGCACAACUGAGUAAGGAUUCAAAGACUUCUUGCAGGCAUUUCUUGAGUGUUUAAUGUGUCCUCAUCAGGAAAAAGUCAGUUGUACCAUUUAUUCGUUUGUCUUUUCUUUUUCACAAAUAGAAAAAGGAAAAUCCAAGAUGCUGAACAUAAAAAUAUUGCCCUGCCUGAAGACACAUCAGUUUACUACCAUGAAUGUUUACAAUGGGACAACUUUUCCUGAUUUGAUAUAAAAUUACUAACAAAACUCACCAUUGUUUUUCUCAGGUUGGCCCUAUCUUUUUCCCUCUUCUAAAUAUCUGUACCUACAUGUAGGAGCAGCAUUCAUGAUUUCUUUAUGUCUGUCUAAAUAUGCUACUUAUCUUUCCUAAAGUGUGUUAUCAACUAUCAAAUACCGUUAAAAAAGUAAGAUCAGAAGUUGUGUGAAUUCAAGAGUUCCUAUUGUGGCUCAGAGGGUUAAGAAUCCAGCUAGUGCUCUUAGGAUGUAGGCUUGAUCCUUGGCCAUGCUCAGUGGGUUAAAGGAUCUGGCUUUCCCGUGAGCCGUAGUGUAGGCUGCAGAAGUGGCUCGGAUUCUGUGUUGCUGUUGCUGUGGCGUAGGCCGACAGCUGCAUCUCCAAUUCAGCCCCUAACCCAGGAAUUUCUGGAUGCUGGGGGUGCAGCCCUAAAAAGACAAAAAAAUAAAACAAACAAAAAACCCAAAAAAGGUUUUGGGAAUUCAAGUAAAAAUAUUGAAUUUUUUAGCAAGCCUAACAGAAAGCUGGAAAAUGAUAAUGAUAAUUAUACAACAAUAACACUCAUCUCAGCUGGAAGUUACCAUGGACGUACAAUGUGUCAGACACCAAGUUUUCCACACCUAUUAUCUCUGAAAUCAUCAUCAAUCUGUAUGGGAGAUACUGCUAUUAUCUUUAUAGAUAAAGAAACUGAAGCCUAGGGAGUUUAAGUUAGUUUUCUAAGAAUGAGAAGCAGUUUUUGGCCAGAGGCUGAAAUUUGAAUCCUGACAUACAUAUGUUCCAUGGAUACUAAAUAUAUAUAUUUUUAAAAAGUGUUUAAUUGCUUUCAGAGUAAGCUUAUAGAACAUGAAAAGUCAGUCUCAUGUCUUUCUAAUCAUCUUUAUAAAAAACUCUCUGGUUUCUUACAUUCUUGAAGAUUAUUUAAAUUUAUCCAUUUUAUGUGGUUUAAAGGCAACAAAUGCAUUUUGUUAAAAGAAAACAUAAAUAUUUAUUUUAAGCUGCACAGAGCCCAAAGCCCAGUCGAGUUAAAUUUUCACUUUUAUUCAAUUGCAUAUUUGAGAGAGAAAAAUAAAACUUACUUUUAUUUAUCAUGUUAAAUCAUUGAUAUGGUACAUUAAUAAUUAAUAAAACUUUUUUUGAUUGUUGACAAAAUUACGUUUAACAAUUUUUGUUAUUUUUAUAAAAAUAUUUACUGAAGAAAUUUAUGUAAGAUAAGAACAAAAUACAGGAAGAUGUAUUCUGCCCUCAUGUAAUCCAUCAGUGCCUCCUCAUAAAUCCAACACCCCAUAGAAUUAAUAGUUCAUGUUUUUAACAAUGAUGGAAGUAUUUUUUUUUUUGCAAGACAAUUAUAUUGCUUCCUUGCUUGCUGAUAUUUGGUUAUUUAAGUGGGUAAAAACAGUAUAUACUCAAUCCUACAUUUAUGCUGAGUACUUAUUAAAUGCAAGAACCCUUAUUUGUCCAAAUUUUGUUACUGUUCUUAAACUGCAAAAAA
rnacentral:lncRNA from 1 species